rnacentral:lncRNA from 1 species
GCGGGUUGCUAUGUUCCAUGCUCUCUUAACCAAUCAGCAGGUUUAUUGUGCUGCACUAAAGUAGCGGACCGUGGGUGAACUUGGCUCUAAAGAUAUAGCUUGUCAUGCCUUGGACAGCCGAGAGCACAGCGUCGAAGGACGAAGAUGACUUCUGGGUCGAGGAAGAAUACGUUCCCACACCUCCAAAAUCAGCCUAUGACUCUAGGCACUGCAACGACCAUGACAGGAGAUCUCGCAGGAGCCAAAGCCAAACUUGCCGACAAGGCGGCCGUCAGUUAUCAGGUUGCAUGCACAAUUGGAGGCAAGGUCCUGAUAAAGGUGCAGAUACUGAGCUCAUGGUUGUUCCUGCAAAAGAAAUUGGCAGGAUCAUUGGUGAGUGUGCUUAUUUCUUGCUGUGACA